GACGAACGCUGGCGGCGUGCUUAACACAUGCAAGUCGAACGGAAAGGCCCUGCUUUUGUGGGGUGCUCGAGUGGCGAACGGGUGAGUAACACGUGAGUAACCUGCCCUUGACUUUGGGAUAACUUCAGGAAACUGGGGCUAAUACCGGAUAGGAGCUCCUGCUGCAUGGUGGGGGUUGGAAAGUUUCGGCGGUUGGGGAUGGACUCGCGGCUUAUCAGCUUGUUGGUGGGGUAGUGGCUUACAAAGGCUUUGACGGGUAGCCGGCCUGAGAGGGUGACCGGACACAUUGGGACUGAGAUACGGCCCAGACUCCUACGGGAGGCAGCAGUGGGGAAUAUUGCACAAUGGGCGGAAGCCUGAUGCAGCAACGCCGCGUGCGGGAUGACGGCCUUCGGGUUGUAAACCGCUUUCGCCUGUGACGAAGCGUGAGUGACGGUAAUGGGGAAAGAAGCACCGGCUAACUACGUG
rnacentral:rRNA from 1 species